rnacentral:rRNA from 1 species
GAUGAACGCUGGCGGCGUGCCUAAUACAUGCAAGUCGAGCGAACAGACGAGGAGCUUGCUCCUCUGACGUUAGCGGCGGACGGGUGAGUAACACGUGGAUAACCUACCUAUAGGCCGGGAUUAACUUCGGAAAACCGAACUAAUACCGGGUAAUUUAUUUAACCCGCUGGUUCCAUUGUUAAAGAAGGUUUUUCCGUCACCUAUAGAUGGAUCCGCGCCGCAUUAGCUAGUUGGUAAGGUAACGGCUUACCAAGGCAACGAUGCGUAGCCGACCUGAGAGGGUGAUCGGCCACACUGGAACUGAGACACGGUCCAGACUCCUACGGGAGGCAGCAGUAGGGAAUCUUCCGCAAUGGGCGAAAGCCUGACGGAGCAACGCCGCGUGAGUGAUGAAGGUCUUCGGAUCGUAAAACUCUGUUAUUAGGGAAGAACAAAUGUGUAAGUAACUAUGCACGUCUUGACGGUACCUAAUCAGAAAGCCACGGCUAACUACGUG